AUAAGGAGGCUCUGGGCAUGCGACUCUAAAUUCCUUCAGUUGAAGGGUAUUAUGUUACCUAAUGGACUGUGAAGAAUUGACAAGAUAUUUGCUGGUUGACCUAGUACACCCUGGUGGGUGGUCAGAGCUCUCAUAAUCGGCAAGAUUGGGGCACCUGCCCUGUUCCCGGGCCUUGGAGUUUGUUACAGCCUCAUCUGUGGGGUGGGAAGAUGGGCCAGGGAGGGCUUUUGACGUCUUUAAAUCCCACCUGGGAAGGAAUUUCUGACCAAAGGCCAGAUGAUACCAAAGUCUGAUCCAGCCCCGAGGGUGUUGCCAGAAUACCCGGACUGACGCGCAGCCUCGUGGUGCGCAGCCUCGUGGUGCCGGGGCCAGCACCGCCCACUCCAGAGAUGCCCCUGGGGCGCCCACCACGCACCAGGGACACUCAGCACAAACUCUUCCCCACAUCUUUUUCCUGUAAGAAGAGGAGUUCGUGGAUGUGGUCAGCUAUACAACCUGUUUGGUCUGCAGGAUGUGCUGGGAAUCCUGUUCCUCUGGCAGACUAAACAGUCUCCAACUGCCUUUGGAAGUUGCAGCAACUGGACAGUACAAAGAAACAAACACUGAUGUGUGUGGAGAUGAGAGUAUGCACGCUAUGCUUUGUGCACUCAGGCACCCAAAAUGCUGAAGCAGAUUUGAGUUUACUUGCUCCUGUUGAGAAUGUAGAACAUCAUCAGAGCCUAGUGAAAUAUAACCAAAAAGGCUCUGCAGUAUUUCUGGUGAAAUAUGGUAGAGCCAUUUCCAGGAAACAAGUUCCCUCCCACAGCAUAGAAGAGAACAUUUUGCUUCCUCACCCAAGAGAUCUACAGAAACUGCUGGUUGACAGGAAGUACAUCAAGGAACUGGAAAAACGCCUUGCCUUGGCCGUUCCACCUGCUGGCAGCUUCUGGGAUGAGCCUCAGAGGUCGGGUACGCCCUUCCAGGAUCACAAUUUUGAGCCUAUUCCUAGCGCCCCGUGCCAUCUUUGCCUCCAGCGAAGGAACGGAAAUCCUUUGCCUUCCUGCAGAGCCGAGGGGGAUUCUUAUCUGCCUCCCCCCACUCCGCUUUCCCCUCCUCCCGUUUAGCAGUUCGCGUUCUUAGCUUGUCUUUCAUUCAGCCAACGGUAGUAUGUAAGAGGGCAUGACUUCUUGCCAAGAUCCAACAUUCUGGGGAAGAGUGUGUUGCUCAGCUAGAGGAGGUCGGGGAGUGCGCCAGUAAGUACCCCCCUGGAACUACAGUGCUGGGCAAAUGUGUUUCUGGCCUCCUAAACUGGGUGUUUGAAUGUAUUUUCCAAAAACAAGCCCCAUGGUUAAAACAGUGAUGAGAGUCUUAAACUACCAGCACAGCUUUAUACUUUGAGGACUUCAGUCCAAGCUCCCCAGAAGCGGGAAAGAGGCUUAAUACAGCCCACAGUGUAGCACUGCCUUCUGCCCUGUGAACCCAACCAACGUGUAGAGAGCAUUGUGUGAGAAAAUACUUCCUAAGUCCUGAAUCUUAGGACUGUAAAACAGAGAAUUACAAAUCAGCGACUCCCCUGUAACGACCUGGGGUUCUACGGUUUAUUCACUCAGGUAUAGUGCUGAUUUCAUGCAUUUCCACUGUAUAUACAUUUCUACCAUAAAGAACUGACUUAGAUAAAUUUUACCAUUAGAAAAGUGUCGAUAGUCCUCAGUGACAAUAGGGGUGUUCAGAAAAUAUGCCACUGGUGGGAGUGUAAAUCAUGCAACAUUUUAAGGCCAAUUAAGUAAUACCUAUGUAAAAUACUACUAUGAGAAACAUAAAUGUCCAUUGCUGAGUGUGGGUAAAAUUGUAACAUUUCUAGAAUAUCUCACCUAGCUUUAGUACAUCUGCUUAUCAAUAGGCGUUCAGAGGUUGAAAGAAGUUUAGUGCGUUUGCACCGUUCCUCAGGGGUGGAGAGAAAUUAAUCUUUAUAUCAAUGGGUCAUUACCUGGGCAAUGGAGGGCUUAUCUGUACUUGAGAGGCGAGGGGGAGGGCUGGUUUUGCUGCUGCUGGAGCAGGAAAGAGAAGGCCCUGGACUGCAGUUUGUAAGCAACAAACGAAUUUUAAACUUUAUUUCUCCCUUUGACUGAUUUCGGUUUUAGAGGUAUUUUGCCCUGGGAUUUACUUCUCCCCGGACUUACUCUGAGGUUCUGGUUAAAGCAUAGUAAUACAAAUAUUGGAAUAAUAUGAAAACAACUUUUUAUUUUUAAGUAGCAGAUAGAUUUUACUGAUGUUUGAAAUUGCCCAACAUACACUUAAUUUGUAGGAAGAAAAGUUGUGGAAGAGGAUGCAUAUCAUGAUCCUAUUUAUGGAUUGUAUACACGUUUUUAUAUUUGUUGAGACGUGUGUACAUGGGAGUGUGUUUGCUUUAAUAUAAGCUUUGGAAUUUUGUAAAAGGACAUAUAAGAAACUAUUAAUGGUGAGUAAGGACUGGGACCUGGAAAUCCCCUCUGUUAUUAAAUUUCCUUACAUGAGCACAAAGUUUAUCAUUUAAAAUAUUGAUGAACAAAAAGAAUUUUUAGUUCAUUCAAGAGGUGAACUUAGCCACCACUCUGGGAGCAUAAUUAGCCUUCCUAAUGUUGAAAAUGAAGAACCUCACAGUUGAGAAUCUAUGUUUAAUAAAAUUCUGCCUUUUAAUGGCAGUUUUUGAAUCCCCAUUAGUCUUGCAAGCCACUGAACACUCAACAAGCAACAUUACUACAUUAAGUCCUUCUACUAGGUUCUCUGAGUAAAUCAGUGUAAUCCUCAUGCCUGGAAAUAAAAAUUGUCCCUGGGUGCUGUUAUAAAUCACCAUAGUACUCCCCAGUAUGCACACUCUUUAGUUUAGAUGUUGAGAUGUUUUUAAGGCCCUUCCCACGGGGUAACCAAGUGAGAAGAUCCUUCAGGAUUUCUGUAUCUUAAAGGGAGGAGGGCAGUUAGGUCCCAAGGUGAUUCUAGCAUCUUCUAAUUACUCCACCUACCUUCCAGCUGAGAUACUGAGACACAGAAAAUCAAAAGGGCUGAAGACUACUGGGGAAGUUUUUCCAUGUUUGUUGAGUCCUUUUAAAUAUAUCUUCUUGUUUCUAAGGCAUCACUUUCUCUGUCCCAGCGUAAUGUUUUCAUCAUUGAUUCCUUAUAUAAUAACAAUUAUCUGCAUUAUCUAGGUGUGCUCACCUCGUCCCUAGGAGCCUGUUGAUUUAAGUGCUACCAUCAGGGGAAGAGACUCACACUCUGUCUCCCAGCUGCCAAUGAAUGCAAGCAGAGAUCCAGCCAGGCUUGUCUGUAGAGAGAAGUGACUGGCAUGGGUCUGACUGCUGGGCAACACACACUCACAGCUCACAGCACAGCAGUCAGGAUGAGGGAGGAAAGCUCAGAGAGUUGGCUAGCUCUUGCCCCACCUCAGAUCCUGGAGGUUGCUGGGCAGAGCCCCACCAAAGACUGUGACAAAUCACACCACACACCUAUGAAUGGAACCCACUGAGACCUGGUGCUGAGCCAGACCUCUUUGCUCCGGCUCCAAGAUGGCACUGGGUCACUGUCCACCCAUCAGCCCAACUUUUUGGAUCUAUCUUUUGAGGGCAGCGGAGAAUCCCAGCUUGGAUCUUGUUUUUGAGUUGUUAAUUCAGGUAACAGGAAAAGCAGUUGCAACCCUCAUCUGAAAGUUUCAUAUUGCCUUUAUUACUUAAGUUGGGAUAAGUUCUUCUGUGCAUACACAAGGUGCUGAUAAGUCUUAUAUACACACUGAAGAGUCAGAAGAAGUUCCCCCAAAUAUUUUACAAGCCUCCUAACUAGCUGCAUACCCUCCCCACACCCCCAAAAUAUGCUAGAUUUUGAAUUAGGGAAUUUAGGACAUUUUUCUUUCCCAAGGAACAACUUUCUCACCACCCUUGGUAUAAAUAGUACUCUGAAAAAUAACGGUAACAACAAACAAAAAACUAAACAAUUUGGGA